ACUGCACACUGUUAAAGCUCGGGCGGAGGCCUUCGUGGCCUGUGAGCUUCCGAGUGUCGGAGGUGUGCUACAGCAAUGGCAGGGUUUUCGCUAACACCACGAGAGCUUGGCUCUAUGACUGGGGUUGAUAGUACUCGCUGCCACAUCC
ensembl:snoRNA SNORA62 Small nucleolar RNA SNORA62/SNORA6 family